GGCAAACGGGUGCGUAACACGUGGGUGACCUACCUCGAAGUGGGGAAUAACGGUCCGAAAGGAUCGCUAAUACCGCAUGUUCUCGAUGAUUCAUUUUGUCGAGUAAAACCGUAAGGUGCUUUGAGAGGGGCCCGCGUCCCAUCAGGUAGUUGGUGAGGUAAUGGCCCACCAAGCCAAUGACGGGUAGCUGGUCUGAGAGGACGACCAGCCACAAUGGAACUGAGAUACGGUCCAUCUACGGGAGGCAGCAGUGAGGAAUAUUGCACAAUGGACGAAAGUCUGAUGCAGCGACGCCGCGUGGGUGAUGAAGGCCCUCGGGUCGUAAAACCCUUUUGGCAGGGACGAGUGAGGACGGUACCUGCAGAAUAAGUCUCGGCUAACUACGUGCCAGCAGCCGCGGUAAAACGUAGGAGGCGAGCGUUAUCCGGAUUUACUGGGCGUAAAGCGCGCGUAGGCGGUCGGGUAAGUCAGAUGUUAAAGCCCCUGGCUC
rnacentral:rRNA from 1 species